GUCUUUGUGGUGUAAUGGUCAGCACACUCGGCGCCUAUCCGAGAGGUCUGAGGUUCGAGUCCCGGCGAAGGUG
rnacentral:tRNA from 1 species